AUGGAGUCUGUUGUUGCCCCUGAGGCUUCUCUGCUUAUUGGUGGUGCUGGAACAAUGAAAAUAUCAUCUUUUUGUGUUGUUGAUAAUGCCUAUAUAUGUUAUGGCGAAACGAGCAUAGUUCAGAUGGUUAGGCUCUUGUGGUCCUGGAUUAUUCCAGACUUUUCCGCGCAUUGGUUACGAGGCAUUGGCUUCGCCUCCUGUUUUUUUAGGGAAUGUCAUCAUGCCUACUUCAUUGAACUGGUAACAAGGUCCCCUCGGAAAAAAAAAGAACUGGUAACAAGGUUACAUCGUUCACCAAAAAUCCUCAACUAG
rnacentral:rRNA from 1 species